AACACUUCAUGUAACUGUUUGUCCAUAUGUGCUCUCAUCAUCAAUGAACUAAAAUGCAUUUUAUUAAAAUACAUGAGCGAUUGUAUGUGAACGUCACAAUAGCGCUUUUGCGCAUGCGCCAAAAUUCAAACACACCCGCGCUAACGGCAGAGUCUGAGCAAUGGCUGCGGCUAAACAAACAGUCAUCUGCAGUAAGAUGUUUUUCUUAGUGGAAGGAUAACAAAUGUGCCAGUACCUUCACAUAAUAAACGACAAUGAUUUUAUAGACGGGCACGAAGACAGACCGACAUCACUGAGUGGAGUGGAUGAAACGCCUUUGAAUGUGGCAGCGGUGCAGGUAAUGAGUCCCGACAUUCUCAGAAAAUAGAAAUGGAGGCCGAACCUGCAGAUGUGGAUGGCAGUGAUGUGAAUGAUGGAGCAUCUACACAGAAAAGAUGCUGGAAUCCAGAAAUUUCUUCACCUGGGGCCUACUGGGGAUGGCAAUAAACAAAAAACUAACCAAGCUGUGGGAAUACAAACCUGUAGACCUUUAGCUGAACCACUACAAUUGAUGUUCUGUUUCUUAUGCCUGUUCAGUGUUUUGAUCAGUUAUAUAUGUAAUUGUUUCUUUUUUUGUCCUGUUUGAUUGU